AAAAUCUCUAAAAAACUCGAAUGCAAAAUAUUGAUUGUAAUCAGACUGCUGGGAAAACAUCGGUUUAUAAGAGCUAGAACAUGUUUCUGAGGACAGAAAGUCCUACUCAACAGACCUCCGCUGGAAAUGUACGGCAGGCACUCAGAACCUUCACUUCUGUGGACAUCCUCUCUGCCUCCUUCCACUCAAAAAUAACAAACUAAACAAAAAUCCACUUCCGGGCUGGAGAGAUGGCUCAACAGUUAGGAAUGCUUACUGCUCUUGAAGAAGACACCCAGCGCCCUCAUUGGCUGGAUCCCAAUCAUCUGUGACUCCAGCUCCAGUUCCAGGGCUCCAGGGGAUCUGAUGUCCUGUCCUGAACUCCAUAAGAACCAGGCUCACACAUCAGAGCUAUGCAGGACCCACCAUGCAGUGCUUCAAAUUCAUUAAGGUCAUGAUGAUCCUCUUCAAUCUACUCAUCUUUCUCUGUGGUGCAGCCCUGUUGGCUGUGGGAAUCUGGGUGUCCGUCGACGGGACAUCUUUCCUGAAGGCCUUCGGAUCACUAUCAUCGAGUGCCAUGCAGUUUGUCAACGUGGGCUACUUCCUUGUCGUCACAUGGAAACCAGGAAGAGGCACUUGGCACAGCUAAGCAGCAGCAAUGGGUGGAGAUGAAACGUCAUUUGGGCUGGAGUGGAUCUGCCUUUGCUGCUCUGGACUUCGGGCUAAUUAGGGACCACCGCUCGGGCUGUGUCUGUCUUGUUCUUCCACUACUGGGGCGAGGGGGGCAUUGGUCCCAGUCUCUGAGGUAGCCAUGUCUGCCCAUCUCCUGAGAUUCUUGAUGAUCCCAGCACUCCACUGGUGGAUGAAGGCACUUAUAGCCUGGGCAUAUUCUAGCACUGCAAAGUCAUAGAAGGAAUGUACAGAAGGUGUUUUGGAACUUAUAAACCAAUGAAAAU
rnacentral:lncRNA from 1 species